UACGUAGGGGGCUAGCGUUGUCCGGAAUCAUUGGGCGUAAAGCGCGUGUAGGCGGUUCGGUAAGUCCGCUGUGAAAGUCGGGGGCUCAACCCUCGGAUGCCGGUGGAUACUGUCGGACUAGAGUACGGAAGAGGCGAGUGGAAUUCCUGGUGUAGCGGUGAAAUGCGCAGAUAUCAGGAAGAACACCCGUGGCGAAGGCGGCUCUCUGGUACGUGACUGACGCUGAGACGCGAAAGCGUGGGGAGCGAACAGG
rnacentral:rRNA from 1 species